GGGAAAGGGAGGAAGAAACUAAAACAGAGAGGUGGAGAACCAGUGACGUAGAGAUUGUGAGGGGGUGAAUUGACUGAGAAAUUUUACAGAGUAGACAGAGAAGGGUUAAGAAUAUGGAAAAAAAGGAAGGGAGAGAUAGAGUGAGGAAAUGACAGAAGGAGCAACAAAGUGCAAACAGAAUGAAGGAUAGGUACAGGAAAGGCUGCAAUGGAGUGAGAGAAUAAGGCCCACCGCUGGAGAGAGGGCAACAGCACUAACUGCAUACGGGAAAUGACAGAAGUUGAGGAGAGAGAGGGAGAGAGGGAAAGAGAAAGAGAGAAAAGAGGGAAAACAAGGGGAAGUUAGAAAAGGAAGGAAGGGGGAGGUGAGUCUUGAAAGGGAUAGAAAAAGUGGUAGAGGAGAAGUUGAAAGAAACAGCAUGUGAGAAAAGGGAACAGAAUGGGGAAAAGGAGAGAAAGACAGUAGAGUGUGAGAAAAAGACCUACGCAGAUGAGAAAAACAGCCUUAGUGAAUGGCCUGGGUGGGGAAAGAGAGAGGAGGUAACUGGUUGUUUUGUAAGUCGUCAGCCUGGGCAGCUUUUAGUCUCCUACUGCUAUGCACUCAGAGAAGGUGGCAAAAGGACAACGUGCCCUCCAUCCAGCCCAGGACUACUGCCACCUCUGCCUACAACAGGGACCAGCAUUAACACAUUACAGGCAUGAGCUCAGUGAUGUGCAAUGUCCACCUUUGGAGCCCAGCCUAAGGUCACACGUGUGGAGGGAGGACUUGUCUUUACCCUUUCCUCUUGAUCUGGAAACACUUGAGGACAGGUCGGGGAACCAUAAUCAUCAUGACCUGCAGAGACGGCAGGUCUACUUGGGGCCAAACCAUUACACUGUGUCUGAGAGGUGUAGCCCACCGUGCUACUUGUGGAGGGAGGUGAGGGUACCUAGAUGGGACCCCUGGCAUCCCCCAUCCACAUGUGUGUGGGAGAGAUCAGCACUGGCCCAUCAUGGGCAAGAGGUCACUGAUGGGCGACUGGCAGGCGGGCUUGAGAGACAUAGUGACUGUGGCUCUGGGAGGGACUGGUACCAGCAUGAGCAGCCACACCCCCUCAAUGGUGGCCCCAUGCUGGCAAAGGUCAGGAGCCAGCGGUACUACAGGGAAGCUCGGAAUGUGUCAGAGGAGCAUCACUUGGACUGCAUGAGCGAGAAAUAUCACCAGAAUACACAUCUACCAAAGCUAGAAUGGAACAAUAGACAUAAAUUUGGAUACAAUGGACACUGUGAAAGGAGGCAUGUUACUUUUGAGGGCCAUGAUGAUGGACACAGCGUAGAGAAUAAUGGACCAGCCAGUCCUAUCAAGAACCACUAUAAUGGAGCUAAGGCAUUCUUUUCAACUGAGGUUCCCCAGAGCAAGUUUACAGUCUCCAAGACAUCAGGACCUAAGCGGCCAAUGAGUGGAAUCCAUUGUGGAGAAACCAAACUGAGUCAAGCAGACAGGUCAGAGGUUGGGGGAAGCCAGAGUAACCACAGGAAGAGCCAGGGAACAGUGCGCGAGCAGAUCAAACAAGUGGUGACGGAGUUAGAGGAUGUGCUCAGUGGCCUCAAACAGGUUCAAAUGGAGAUGAAAGAGGUGGUCCAACAGAUUGAUGUUCUGACUUCCGACAUUGACCUGGGAGAAGAGGAGCAAGGACUAUUCAAUGGUCUGCCACAGGAAUCCACGCACCAAGCCAAACGUAUUGGAGUUGUGGCGCUUGUCCAUAAUGCAAACAGAGAUGCAGAAUCACCACAAAGAGACAGCACACGUGCCAUUGUCAAAUCACAGACCACUCGUUCCCUGUCAGACCAUAGCUUGUCUGCUGUGAUUUCCUCUCUCCCUGACAGUCAUUCUGCCACAAAGAUCCACACGAACCCAUCCACCCAAAUUCAUGGUCUGGUGACUGUUGAGUCUGCACAAAGCAGCCAGAUGAAUCAUACGUCUGCUCUGGAGAUUCAGAGGACAAGGAGCACUGCCAAUGGAGACUGCCUGCGAGCCAGACCUCCCAGAGCCAAAGUCAAAGAGCUCCAGUAUCUAAGAAAUAGAACAGAUCAUACAAAGAAUCCCGACCCUCCUUAUCCUCUAGCACCAAUUAGCUCGGCUAAAACCCAGAGACCCCCACCGUACCCACAAAAUGGACUGGUCAAAGCGCCCUCGAGGGAUUCGAAUGUUCUGAAGACGCCUCCUUACCCUGGAAAACAGAAACAGCUAACCUCCACCAUGGUGUAAAGGUGGGGUGACAAGGGAAGUUCCACUGGCUCAGAGCUCUGACUGCACUCAUGAGGACAACACACACCCACACACACAGACACACAAAGAACGUAAAUAGGAUGCUUUUUCCCCUCAGCAUCCACAUGGUUAGGUAACACAGGGGAUCCCACAAAGAAGAGAUACAUCUAACAGCAGUGCAUGGACAUCUUACUAGAACUUUCCCGUGGAAAACACUAGAAAUGACCUGUCCUGUUCUGUGCUGUCAGCCCCCCCUUCCCUUCAAUCCUGACUGCACUACAGCCAUCAGAACAAGUUGCCCUUUUUGCCAUACCUGUGAACCAGCCUCUGAGUUUUCGCCCCUUAAAAGCACUUAAGGCACUACAGAGGAAUAGCUGCUCCUAAACUGGAAAACAAAAAAAAAGUCUAGACUCCCGUCUUGACUCCCAAAUAUUAUGCAACAUAUUUCUAAAGCUUGCAUAGGAUUUGAAGCCUGUGAAUGAACUGUUCAGACGACCAAAGAGAAUUGAAAGUCUUUUAUAAGUCUUUACUAUUGGUUAAAUCUUUAAGAGCAAAAAGCUACAGUGUCAAAUGGUUAUAUUCAACCUGUGUCUCGGCAUCAGUCUGUAAACCCUACACUUUAUACUGCAAUUAGUUCAUGAGCUAUUUAAAGCCAGUGUAAGGCAUUUAGUUUUGUAUUUAAUAUGUAUCAUUGAUAUAUGCUGUCCAGAAGAGGGCACUACAGGCCAUAAAUGUGUUCCUGAACUUUUAUGACACUCACAGGAAAUAAAAAAAGGAGACAUUUGGAACAUAUUCCGAUUAAGUCAUGUCUUCAUUUCAAAUCAACGUACAAGUUUACUUACUGUAUCUACCUAGAUAAGUGUAUGUACCUUAAAAAUCUUAUGAAAUAACUUGCUGUUUUAUGCAGCAUGAAAACUGAUUUAACAUGCAGAGAUACCAGAAGUAUGGUUUCUAUAGAAUAUUUGCACAGUUGAGUACAGUGUCUCCAGUCUUGACAGUGUCUGUGUCUGUAUUUAUUUAAGUCUUGAAUGAGAAUUUUAUCACUCUUGCCUGAGAAGACCCUCUUCCCUAUCCCCCCCCCCAAAAAAAACCCCCAACAACAAUAGAAACCAUACAAAUAAUAAAUAGAAACAAUACAAAUAAUAGAAUUUGUAAUGGUUUUAAUUGCGAUAAUCGUAAUUAUAUUGGUUUUAAUUGAAACUCUAACGGUCCCUGUGGGUCACUACUGGUACUUUGUUGCCUUCUAUUGCUGGCAUGUUAUGUCUAGCGGAUACCAUUCAGGACCAAUAAUAGUAAUGGUUUUAAUGGUUAACAGCUGAUGGAUUGUAAUGGUAUUUGUAGUGGCAUCCAUUAGAAUUUCUGUGAUGGUUUGUAUUGUUUUUUUCAGCAGAAAUGCCAAUAGCACCGAGGGCUGUGUCUCAAUUCUGAGACCGCCAAGUACAGUAUGUUAUAAUUAAUCAAUAUCAUAAUGUAAUAGUUACACUCAUAUACACACUAACUUGUGCCUGACUUGAUGCACAUUAGCAGACCUACUGUCAUGGGGAGACAACUGGGCACGUUGUUGUUCCAUUCCUGGGCUGAGUGAGUUCCCAGGGGAAGCUCUGACAUGUGAGCAAGGACACUUUGAUCAAAAUAUGUAAUUUAUGUCCAUGUUUCCAACAGCACAACUGCUUGUCAGCCUGGAUGCAAAUACAGCCUGAUGCUAGUGUUGAUAAAUUCAAAAGUGGUUAUUAUUCCAUAUCCACGUCACAUUUUUCUACUCUGACUGGUCAGAAGACUUGAUUAAUUAAAAAAAAAGGUUUGUUUUUUUUAUGGCAGCAGGUAUGACAAUAGUUCUGUCUGUAAAUCAAGUCAGUUUAUUAAUGAGCUCAUUCCAAUAUCAUGUCUAUAGUAACAACUAAUACAGGAAUUUAAAUGUAGAACACUCCACAUAAGAAGUUUAAACAGAUUAAAAAUCUUAUAAUCUCUGAGGAGCCAUGUACU
ensembl:lncRNA